rnacentral:rRNA from 1 species
UACGUAGGGGGCAAGCGUUGUCCGGAAUCAUUGGGCGUAAAGCGCGCGUAGGCGGCCAGAUAAGUCCGGUGUGAAAGUCACAGGCUCAACCUGUGAAUGCCGCUGGAAACUGUCUGGCUUGAGUCCGGAAGGGGCGAGUGGAAUUCCUGGUGUAGCGGUGAAAUGCGCAGAUAUCAGGAGGAACACCUGUGGUGUAGACAGCUUACUGGACCAUUUCUGACGCUGAGACACGAAAGCGUGGGUAGCAAACAGG